AUGGACGGACCGCCGGUGUACCUGUUGGCGACCAACGCCAUGGCAGGGUAGCCGAGUCCGGCAGGGAUAAACGCUGAAGGCAUCUAAGCGUGAAGCCCCCCUCAAGAUGAGAUAUCCCAAAUUUAGUAAGACCCCUUGGAGACUACGAGGUAGAUAGGCUUAAGGUGUAAGUGCAGCAAUGUAUUAAGCUGAUAAGUACUAAUCGGUCGAGGGCUUAACCAAAA
rnacentral:rRNA from 1 species